AAAAAAACGCGACCCACAAACGCAUCUGCCUCCCCCCACGCUCUCACGAUCCCCUCCUCUCUCGCGAGUUGACCGCGGCGUCAUAUCGCCGUCGCCGACCUCCGUGGUCUCCCCCAACCACGCAGUCGGCGGCGAUGUCGACGGCGACCCGGAUGCUUGCGCGCAGUGCCGUCCCCAGCCACCUCCUCCGCUCCGACGCCGCCACCACCAACCCCGCAGUCGCGAUGGCGGCGCUGCUGCAACAUCGCCGCCGACCAGGAUGCUUGCGCGCAGCGCCGUCCCCGGCCACCUCCUCCGCUCCGCCUCCGUCACCGCCAACCCCGCAGUCGCGACGGCGGCGCUGCUGCAAGGGCGGUGGUACCGCGGGGGAGUGGACCCUGCGCCGUCCUUCUACGACCCGCCACCGACCCGGCGAACCUGGGCCUGAGCAUCGUCCCGGAGAAGAAGGCAUUCGUGCUGGAGCGCUUCGGCAAGUACCUUCUCCCCUGCAGCUGGAGGAUGGUCACCUGCUCCUCCGACGGCUACGUCUCCGCGUUGUACGUCCUUCUCCCCGCCCCUCCUUUGCUCACGCCGGUCCAUCUCUCCGUCGAGGAGCGUCCGUCGUUAGUGGCCACAAUAUGUGCUAUUGCAGAACAACGCGAUUACAGAGAUUAGAGAGGACACUAGAGAAUUGAGAUUGAUCCAUGGGAAAAGGCUAGAGUUACAGUAAGAUUACAGAGAGGUAGAAGCCUAGAAGGGGUUGUGAAUGGUCAAUUUUUUCUAGAGCUGAUGGAUAGUUCUGGCACUGACACUAUGCCGGUCCAUCUCUCCGUCGAGGAGCAUCCGUCGUCAGUGGCCACAAUCUGUGCUAUUGCAGAACAACGCGAUUACAGAGAUUAGAGAGGACACUAGAGAAUUGAGAUUGAUCCAUGGGAAAAGGCUAGAGUUACAGUAAGAUUACAGAGAGGUAGAAGCCUAGAAGGGGUUGUGAAUGGUCAAUUUUUUCUGGAGCUGAUGGAUAGUUCUGGCACUGACACUAGAGAAUUUGACAAUUGGACUGAAUCUUCUCUAAUAUCUGCCAUUUAUUGAUUUAGAUGUGUGUUAGUUGGUUCAUAUGCUGGUGUUGUGCGAUUUACACUUAAUUUGAACUUGCCCUGUUUGGCCUUGCACUUCAACUUGCAUAGAAUCUGACACUAGAUGGGAUUAUCGUAGCAGAAGGUGAUGUACACCUCAUUCUAACACCAUUUUAGUGUGCUACAAAAUUGCAGGUACCACACCUAUUCAUACCAUGCCUGUCGCGCGCUUCAUAUAACAAGCAAGCUGAACUCGUCAUCAACCUAUCCAGUGCUGGAGCUAUUCUUCUAGAACCAGGUCUGUUGCAUUUUUCCGUUUAAUCCUUCACCUUUUAUAUGCUAUUUUCACCAUUGCAACUCACAUGUUGGUUCUACCUAUGCAAGUUAUGGAAUUCAUUCUUUUUUUAUAUAAAUCAAUAAUGCUUCUCGAGGAGCGUGUCAUCAAAUACUUAAUGAAUUCGAAGAUGUGCUCGUUAAUGUAUGACGGUCGCAAUUCGACAUGUCAUGCCACCAUCAUUAAGCUGCCAGCAUGGUAGUGCGAUAAUACCCUUUUUUAUUAUCGUUACCAUGGUUUUUGAGGUUGAAUCCUUCUGUUUCUUAGGAACACUCGAGUGAAUUUGCAAGGUGAAUACUAUAAUAUAGAAUUUGUAAAAGAAUUCCGUAUCUUCCGUUUUGCACUGAGUAUCUUAAUUUAUUUUUGGAAAUGGAAGGGUAGCAGUAUGUUUUACUUGUGUCAUGCAGAAAAUGUUCUAUUGCAGUAUUUACUAUUGAGGCAAAAGUAAUCAAGAGAGCAUACAAGAAGCUUGCCUUGGAUGCUUUGGUCAUUCAGCAAGAUUUAUUGCCAGAACAGAAAAGUUGCUUUCUUUUCUUCCCACUACUUGUAAUUUCAUUAAUUUUCAUGUUAAAGUGGAACAAGUAUUAAUGUACUUUUGUUGUUGUGUUCUUUAUUAGUUGCCAAUAAAGAUGAGCUGAUGGUGAGAUUAUUUGCUGAAAUGGUAUUCAAUUCUAAGGCUAGCAUAAUAAGAAAUGAAGAUAUUAACCAUAGUAUCAAUAGAGGAGAAGAGACAACAUCACAACCUGAUGUAACAAAACUCCUCACAUUAGUUCCCAUGCUUUAAGAUUUCUCUGUUGUAGAAGUUAUAUUCUCUCAUGCAAACAUAAUUUUUAUUUUCUUAAAUGAAAAAUAGACUGGUAAUAUAUAUUUUUAAUUGAAAAAAUUGCACUAGUAGUCUUCCCUCAUACAGUAGAUUGUAUUUCUUUUAGUUUGUUAACAAUCUGUUUAAAAAGUCACUUACCGGAUCAUCAUGUAAGACACCAAGAACCUAAGGUGGUCCCUUCCAAAUUAUGUUGGACGUGCGUCCUUCUGGCAUCAUAUUAGAAAUAUAAAUAUGGUCAGUUAUUUUCUUAUCCAAUUAACCCCAUGUAAGUACAAAUUGUGGAGGAUAGCUCGAUGUUGAAUGUCCGAAAGAUAGAUAUUGGAAGUUAGGCUCAACCUGAACAGAAAUAUAUCUAGCAUUAGUUGUGCUAAGUGCUUUUGGUUUGUCUGCUGAAGGAUUCAUAUGGUUGCAACAUUUACUUCAUAGCUACGUUUGUUUUUGGCAACAUUUAUUUGGACCAGUGACGCUUACUCACAAUGAUCAUUUUUUCAUCGAAUUCUUGAAGAACACCUACAGAAAUUCAUCCAUGGAUGAAUAUAUAUAAGGUUGUUAGUUGUGUCAAAAGCAUAGACUUGCCAUCGUUGCUGAAUUUAAUGUCAGACACUUCAGCCGUAUCUUCACCGACCAAGAAAGUGUCAAAUGGACCCUGAAAGUGGUUUGUUUCACAAGAUGAGAAUUUCACAUGCUUCCCAGAUAUAUGACUGCAAGGAACAAAGGAGAAGCACUUGGAGAAGACGGGGCCAAAAGAUCCAAAAACAUCUAUGCAGUGUUGCUAACAUAGUGGUAAGAUUUAUACUCCCUUACCUCUUAUGUAGUGUGGCAGAUUUGGAAAAAAUUAGCAGAGAACUUUUUAGGCCAAAGAGAUGGAUAUGUAAGUUUUUUUUUCAUGGGUGGAAUAGUUGGUCUCUGAAGUUAUUUACAAUGUUAACCUCCCUUUGGAAGCAUUUGGCACUUAGCCUUUCCUCCUGUGCAGCCGAGCUGACUUCUUGACAUCCUUGAAUUUUCUUUUCUACUUUUUCAUCUUGUUAUGUUGCCUCUUUGGUAAGCUCCAACCUAAGAUUUAAAAAUUAUAUUAUUAGCCUACAUCAAUUGCAGUGUGUAACAUGUCAGAUUGUACACAAUGAUGGCUCAUUGAAUGGAAGAAGAAGUGCGUUGAUUGCAAAUGAUUAUUUUAGAGAUGAUUGCAAUAAGCAAGCAUAAGAAGAGUGAUGCUUCACGUACGACAAAUCACAUAUGAUUUUUCUACGAUGCAAAAAGGGCAGCCUUGAUUGCAUAUGUAGGCGUGAAUUAAUUUAGUUUGAGUAACAAUGAUGGGAAGAAACUAACAUGGUUUGCUCAUUGAUGGUAGGCGCCCAACAUGGUUUCCUUCUUUCAUUCAUCAUGGAUUAAUGGUAAACAAUUCCAAUUGGUGGUGGGAGAUGAUGUUGUUAGAUGUCAAACACUUCAUUAUUCAUGUUUUAAACCGAGGCACUUAGUGCACGACCAUCGUGUGAAACUUAUUGCAGCCUUGGUCAACACACUUUCGUUAUCUCAUUAAUCAUAUCAUUACGGCAAUCUUAAUGCUUGAUCAUGUGUAUCUUUGUGAUGUCAAGAGUCGUGAUGGUGAUUUGGUGAAGCUUAAGAGGAGAAUAAACACGACGUGUGGAGUUAGGGACCGUUUGAGACGUAAGAGGAAUUGAUACCUUGUCUUGUUCUAGGUUGGGUGUUUGAGAAGGAAACCAGGGGUGUAUGGAGGGGUUGGUCGGUACCAUAGGGACAUGUUUGCUUGUUUUUAUGUUUGGGUGCUUUCUAUCACUACUAGGUAGCAAAAUAAUUCUGGGGGGUUCUUCGCAAAUAAAGCUUCUGUAUGAGAAAUAUCAAACGAAUUGUGACGAGGCUUAAAAAAUGUGUGGUGUUGCAAGAGUGACAUGAGGAUUUGAUAUUCGUUUGGAUGCGGUCUUGAACUGCAUUUGCAUUUGCAUUUAUUAUAGAAUAACAAGUUCAGAGAUUAUUUCCUU